AUGGUUGUCAAAGUAAAGUACAGAACAGAACAGAAAUUUGUGAAGAUUUCUGAUAAUGAAGUGAAGCUUGUGGAACUAUUUAAUGGAGUUUUCAAGAAAUUUGGAAUCCCUCUCGAUCCCUAUCUGAUGCUAAACUUUUUGAUGACACAAAAACUGAGCUAGAUGAAGAGGUAUUUGAGGAGGUGGUGGUCUCCAACCGCGAUCUUGGUCGUGUUUAUGAACUCUCCCUUGACAUUACACCUGAAGGUCAUAGAGGAAAAAGAGGCCUGGAGGAGGCCAGAUAAUAAAGGAAUACGGGAGGACAAACGCACUUACAGAUGCAACGAGACGGAAAAUGGUCAACAUGGUUGUUGCCAACAUGACUGAAAUUCAUGGGUAAUCAUUUCUUUAACAACAUUGGAACAUAGUCAUCUCCAACUAUUGUAAUUCACUAUUAGCUGUCUUACCUGCUUGUAUAAUAAGAUAAUUACAGCUGAUUCAGAAUGCUGGAGCAUGCCUGGUCUUCAAUCAGCCAAAGAGGUGUAACGAUCCUGUGUUCCCUGUCCCUCCUUUGUUUACCUCCUGUGCCAUGUGCU